rnacentral:rRNA from 1 species
AACGAACGCUGGCGGCAGGCUUAACACAUGCAAGUCGAACGAACUCUUCGGAGUUAGUGGCGGACGGGUGAGUAACACGUGGGAACGUGCCUUUAGGUUCGGAAUAACUCAGGGAAACUUGUGCUAAUACCGAAUGUGCCCUUCGGGGGAAAGAUUUAUCGCCUUUAGAGCGGCCCGCGUCUGAUUAGCUAGUUGGUGAGGUAAAGGCUCACCAAGGCGACGAUCAGUAGCUGGUCUGAGAGGAUGAUCAGCCACAUUGGGACUGAGACACGGCCCAAACUCCUACGGGAGGCAGCAGUGGGGAAUCUUGCGCAAUGGGCGAAAGCCUGACGCAGCCAUGCCGCGUGAAUGAUGAAGGUCUUAGGAUUGUAAAAUUCUUUCACCGGGGACGAUAAUGACGGUACCCGGAGAAGAAGCCCCGGCUAACUUCGUGCCAGCCGCCGCCGUAA